rnacentral:rRNA from 1 species
AGAGUUUGAUCCUGGCUCACGAUGAACGCUGGCGGCGUGCCUAACACAUGCAAGUCUACUGGAAGAUACCGCUUGCGGUAUUGGGAGGUGGCGAACGGGUGAGUAACGCGUAGAUAAUCUACCCUCUGAUAUGGGAUAUGCUUGUGAAAACGAGAGCAAUACCAUGCAAGGUCUUAUGUUGGCAUCAACAUUAGAUCAUAGACUAUAAGUUGUUGGAGGAUGAGUCUGCGUACCAUUAGUUAGUUGGUGGGGUAAAAGCCUACCAAGACAUCGAUGGUUAGCUGGUCUGAGAGGAUGAUCAGCCACACUGGGACUGAGAUACGGCCCAGACUCCUACGGGAGGCAGCAGUGAGGAAUAUUGCGCAAUGGAAGAAAUUCUGACGCAGCAACGCCGCGUGAGUGACGAAGCAGGUAACUGUGUAAAGCUCUGUUAAACGGGAGGAAAAGAUAUGUUAGACGCAUAUAUUGACAGUACCGUUAGAGGAAGCUCCGGCUAACUCCGUGCCAGCAGCCGCGGUAAUACGGGGGGAGCAAGCGUUAUCCGGAAUUAUUGGGCGUAAAGCGCAUGUAGGUGGGCUAUUAAGUCAGUUGUAAAAUAUCAAGGCUCAACCUUGACAUGCAAUUGAAACUGGUAGUCUUGAGUAUGAGAGGGGACAGCGGAAUACCUAGUGUAGCGGUGGAAUGCGUAGAUAUUAGGUAGAACACCAGUGGCGAAGGCGGCUGUCUGGCUCAUAACUGACACUGAGAUGCGAAAGCAUGGGUAGCAAACAGGCUUAGAUACCCUGGUAGUCCAUGCUGUAAACGAUGGGAACUAGAUGUCGGGGGUCCUAAACCCCUCGGUGUCGUAGCUAACGCGUUAAGUUCCCCGCCUGGGGAGUACGAUCGCAAGGUUGAAACUCAAAGGAAUUGACGGGGGCCCGCACAAGCGGUGGAGCAUGUGGUUUAAUUCGAUGCAACGCGAAGAACCUUACCUGGGCUUGAACUUUAUUUGACCAGUGUAGAGAUACACCUUUUCCUUUUAGGGACAGAUAGAGAGGUGCUGCAUGGCUGUCGUCAGCUCGUGUCGUGAGAUGUUGGGUUAAGUCCCGCAACGAGCGGAACCCUUGUCGUUAGUUACCAUCGCGUUAUGGCGGGGACUCUAACGAGACUGCCCGGGUUAACCGGGAGGAAGGUGGGGAUGACGUCAAGUCCUCAUGGCCCUUAUGUCCAGGGCUACACACGUGCUACAAUGGGCGGUACAGAGUGAAGCGACAUCGCGAGGUGAAGCGGAUCACGAAAACCGUUCCCAGUUCGGAUUGCAGUCUGCAACUCGACUGCAUGAAGUCGGAAUCGCUAGUAAUCGCGGAUCAGCAUGCCGCGGUGAAUACGUUCCCGGGCCUUGUACACACCGCCCGUCACACCAUGGAAGUUGAUAGUGCUCGAAGUGACUGAGUUAACCCUCGGGAGACAGGUUACUAAGGCAAGAUUGAUGACUGGGGUGAAGUCGUAACAAGGUA